rnacentral:lncRNA from 1 species
GGGCGCCCGGAGCCGCUGCCGGCACGGCGAGCGAGGGGACGGGCGUAUUGGAGUCUGCUGUGCAAGACACGUCUACACCCGUCGUUGCUGACUGAAUCUUCACGUCAUGGCCUGUGUGUUCUGUGUAGUCCCUGAUAGUGCAACUCAGGGGAAAUACUAGCAGAGAGGCUGCAAGUAGUCUGUGGAUAACCUGUGAAGAUCCCCGAAGUUUUUCUGUGUGGGACUGACAUUAAUUUUGAGGAUUGGAAUGAGCACUGCAGAUAGAGCAAUGUGUUUUUCAGCUAAGA